rnacentral:lncRNA from 1 species
GUCGAAGAAAAUGGCCUCCUGGGGCCGAUUUGGUCUUUUCACUUCCGACCGAGAUCAUUUCCUGAGCCGGGACAGAGGAGGUCCGGGACAGCCAUGAGGCUGUUUGUUGGGAAGAGUUCGGAAUGAUUAAUGAGUUGAAAUCAUCAGCCCUGGCUAUCCGAGAGGGAAGCAGGUCUCACCCGCAGAGGCCCUUCCUCAUCAGUGGGCGCUGGGCAAGACUGGGAGGGAAGCAUGGAGGAGGCCUUGCUCCGAAACUUGCUGCAGGGGAUUCUGGCGCAGGGCUGGGGGGGCCGAUUCCCCCGGGGGCGUAGUUUCUCAGAGAGAAAUUCUCUAGACCCAAGCCCCCAGCCCUCCAUAAACAGGGACUGAGAGGACCCAGAGAACCCUCCAUACCAGUCACUGAGGCCUAAAAUCUUGGCGCCCUUUCCACUUCUCCUUCGCCACACACCCAGUGACCCUUUCUUCUUAUUGCUUCCUUAAUAGCAUCCCUGACAUUCCAGCACGUUUGCACUGUGUACCUUUUACGCACAGAGCCAUGUGACCUCACCACAGCCUGGCAAGUUAGACACGAUAGGAAUGAGUGUCUCCAUUUUACAGAUAAGGCAUCUCUAAGACACUGGAAAAUAAGUGACUUGUCCAAGGUCACAUGACAACCAUGGGGCAGUUCUGGCUAGAGCGCUGGUCUUUGUGACCCCCCCCGUGCCAUUUUUCUUUCUGUCACAAACACAAAACCCAUUUUUUCUUAAAAUCGGGGAAUACUCUGGAUUUCGUUCUUUUUAUUCCCAACAACUUCAACCUUAUUCAGCCCCUAUAUCACUUGGCAAACAGGAGGGUACAAAGAGGGGUGGGAUGCCAUUCUUGCCUUCAAGUUGCUCCUGGACUGUGGAGAGGCCAUCAGACCACAGCCAGCCUAAAUGGCAAGUGAGGGAAAUCCUGGUGGGAGCUGAUGAGCCGAGUGCAUGGGAGCUGGGAAUUAUGGACAAGUGUCAGGAGCAAGUGACUUCCUGGCUGGCUCUGAAGGAUGAAGAGCUUUCAGGCAAAGUGGCACGAAGAGGGGCAUUUUAGGAAGCCCAAGCAUCAUGUGCCAGGAAAGGGCUAGUCUGGGACUUCGGUGGCUCUGGGCAGUGUGAGAUAUCGGGGGUGGGGGCCAGUGGUGAUGGGCAUGGCCAAUGUAGAUGCCUCUAAGGGGAGCCGCAAGCACGCGGGCCUCUGGGCACAGCUAUAUGUUCUGAAAAUGAACACCUUCAUUUGUUUUCUCUGGGCUUCCAAGAAUUCGGGUCCACCUGAAAAGUUCGCCACUCCGUGUGGCUUCAUCCCUUAGGAGGCUUCCUGAGAGCAAGAACUGCCCCUCAGAGCACUCCUGGAGGAAAAAGGGAUUUUGCAGAUAACUUGGUUAUCACAGAGAGUUAUCACAGAGACCUCCAAAUUGUUACCCCAUCUUCAGACUCCAGAGGAUUCUGGGGUACCCCCAGUCAGGGCAUUUGGAAGGCACUGCUGAGCCUAGCCUCAGUGUCCUGGACUGGGCUCCACUGUAUGGUCUCGUGUUCUAUUGGGGGAGAGGUGGACUGACGAAUAGGUUGUGGAAUUCUAGAAUUCUGUCAAGGGGCCAGGCAACCUUACUGUUAGCUGGGUUCUAACCCUUUGCCAGGCAUUUAACAUGCCCCAUCACUGGUAAACCCCAGGACUGCCUUAUGAAAAAGAGAUCAACUCUAUUUCACAAAAGAGGCCACCCAAGGCCAGAGCAGUUAAGAAUCUUCCCCAAGGGGGCCGGGCGCGGUGGCUC